CAGCACCUCAAGUGGUCAGGAUGAUUAUUGGGCCUAAAGCAUCCGUAGCCGGCUCUGUAAGUUUUCGGUUAAAUCUGUGCGCUCAACGUACAGGCUGCCGGGAAUACUGCAGAGCUAGGGAGUGGGAGAGGUAGACGGUACUCGGUAGGAAGGGGUAAAAUCCUUUGAUCUAUUGAUGACCACCUGUGGCGAAGGCGGUCUACCAGAACACGUCCGACGGUGAGGGAUGAAAGCUGGGGGAGCAAACCGGAUUAGAUACCCGCGUAGUCC
rnacentral:rRNA from 1 species